rnacentral:rRNA from 1 species
AAAAACAAUACCGGAAUUUUUGGUUUUGUAAUUGGAAUGAGUUAAGUAUAAACCCCUUUACAAGUAUCAAUUGGAGGGCAAGUCUGGUGCCAGCAGCCGCGGUAAUUCCAGCUCCAAUAGCGUAUAUUAAAGUUGUUGCAGUUAAAAAGCUCGUAGUUGGAUUUCUGUUAAUAAUUUAUAUAAAAUAUUUUGAUGAAUAUUUAUAUAAUAUUAACAUAAUUCAUAUUACUAUUUUUUUUUUUAAAAAAUAAAAUUUUAUUUUGAAAAAAUUAAAGGGCUUA